rnacentral:rRNA from 1 species
UUGAAGAGUUUGAUCAUGGCUCAGAUUGAACGCUGGCGGCAGGCCUAACACAUGCAAGUCGAGCGGUAGCACAGAGAGCUUGCUCUCGGGUGACGAGCGGCGGACGGGUGAGUAAUGUCUGGGAAACUGCCUGAUGGAGGGGGAUAACUACUGGAAACGGUAGCUAAUACCGCAUAAYGUCGCAAGACCAAAGUGGGGGACCUUCGGGCCUCAUGCCAUCAGAUGUGCCCAGAUGGGAUUAGCUAGUAGGUGGGGUAAYGGCUCACCUAGGCGACGAUCCCUAGCUGGUCUGAGAGGAUGACCAGCCACACUGGAACUGAGACACGGUCCAGACUCCUACGGGAGGCAGCAGUGGGGAAUAUUGCACAAUGGGCGCAAGCCUGAUGCAGCCAUGCCGCGUGUGUGAAGAAGGCCUUCGGGUUGUAAAGCACUUUCAGCGGGGAGGAAGGCGUUAAGGUUAAUAACCUUGGCGAUUGACGUUACCCGCAGAAGAAGCACCGGCUAACUCCGUGCCAGCAGCCGCGGUAAUACGGAGGGUGCAAGCGUUAAUCGGAAUUACUGGGCGUAAAGCGCACGCAGGCGGUCUGUCAAGUCGGAUGUGAAAUCCCCGGGCUCAACCUGGGAACUGCAUUCGAAACUGGCAGGCUAGAGUCUUGUAGAGGGGGGUAGAAUUCCAGGUGUAGCGGUGAAAUGCGUAGAGAUCUGGAGGAAUACCGGUGGCGAAGGCGGCCCCCUGGACAAAGACUGACGCUCAGGUGCGAAAGCGUGGGGAGCAAACAGGAUUAGAUACCCUGGUAGUCCACGCCGUAAACGAUGUCGAUUUGGAGGUUGUGCCCUUGAGGCGUGGCUUCCGGAGCUAACGCGUUAAAUCGACCGCCUGGGGAGUACGGCCGCAAGGUUAAAACUCAAAUGAAUUGACGGGGGCCCGCACAAGCGGUGGAGCAUGUGGUUUAAUUCGAUGCAACGCGAAGAACCUUACCUGGUCUUGACAUCCACAGAACUUWSCAGAGAUGSWUUGGUGCCUUCGGGAACUGUGAGACAGGUGCUGCAUGGCUGUCGUCAGCUCGUGUUGUGAAAUGUUGGGUUAAGUCCCGCAACGAGCGCAACCCUUAUCCUUUGUUGCCAGCGGUYMGGCCGGGAACUCAAAGGAGACUGCCAGUGAUAAACUGGAGGAAGGUGGGGAUGACGUCAAGUCAUCAUGGCCCUUACGACCAGGGCUACACACGUGCUACAAUGGCAUAUACAAAGAGAAGCGACCUCGCGAGAGCAAGCGGACCUCAUAAAGUAUGUCGUAGUCCGGAUUGGAGUCUGCAACUCGACUCCAUGAAGUCGGAAUCGCUAGUAAUCGUAGAUCAGAAUGCUACGGUGAAUACGUUCCCGGGCCUUGUACACACCGCCCGUCACACCAUGGGAGUGGGUUGCAAAAGAAGUAGGUAGCUUAACCUUCGGGAGGGCGCUUACCACUUUGUGAUUCAUGACUGGGGUGAAGUCGUAACAAGGUAACCGUAGGGGAACCUGCGGUUGGAUCACCUCCUU